AGAACUCUCAAAGAAAGAUGCACAGAAUUCCGAACGCACAUGACUAAGCAUCUCUAACCAUGAUCUAUAAAGCUGUUAAUAGCUGGAUAUUCAAAGGGAGCCCACGUGGCUCUACAUAACCCAUGUGCGUAAGGCCUAAAAUUAAUAUUAUGUGUUGCUUCGACAUCUGGUAAAACCGAGAGGGCCUCAAAUGGCCUCACUGCAAGUUCCCUGCCACGCUCUGCUCCUGCAGGUAGUGAAGCACCACAGGAAAUAAUCUCCAGGGAUGGAGUGAACAAAUCUAAUCUAAACUGUCUGAAGGCACCGUUUCAUUGCAGUAUCAACCCUUCCUUUGCCAAAAUCUUCAGAACAGUUGGCUAUAUACCAUAACGCACUGAGGGUUUGGAGGAGGGGAGAGUAAUUAAGGAAGAGCUAGGUAAUUAAGGAAGAGCUGUGCCACAAGACAAUGACACAUAAACGGAUGGUGAGUCGAUCUGCAACGUGAACUAAUUCAGCAGCAAAUGAUUAUGCCAGAAGGGACUGUGAAAAUGCAAACCUCCAUGGGAACUGGCAGAAAUUCUGUGGAAAGCUUUGGACUUCUGAAGGUCAAAUAUUGAAGUGCUGAACAUUCAGGGUUCCAGAAUCAUCUCAGACUAUUUGGCAGACUGCAGCUGUGACCCAGUGGUACUUCAUAGACUACCUACGAGGAUACAAAAUGGCAACAGUGAAAAUGCAUACAAUAAUGACUCAAUAUUAAAUUUUCUGGAAAUUAAGUCACUCGGUAACCUGGAUGGCCAACACGACUUUUGUGACUUACUGAGGAAAGGAAGCAUCAGCCACAGCAGCAAUGAUGCUCUAACAGCCUCUGAAGCUGGCCCAGAGGCUGCACUGAUAUCCAGUGUUCUGGUCCCAAAGGACUGUGAUAAGCAUCCCAAGGCCGAGGGCACCAAGCCCACCAGCCUGGAGGAACAAGCUGCCCAGCCACAGUGGCUCUUUUUCAUUUUCCAGAUUCCUUCCCCAUCUCGAGCUCUUCUUCUUUUUUGCUUCUCUUGGGGAGUUAGGAAAUCACUGGCUAGAAACCCUAGAGCACUUGGUAACAUUUCCUG
rnacentral:lncRNA from 1 species